rnacentral:rRNA from 1 species
UGCGUAGGCGGUUUGGUAAGUCAGAUGUGAAAUUCCUGGGCUCAACCGAGGAACUGCAUUUGAUACUGCCAGACUAGAGUACUGGAGAGGAGACUGGAAUUUACGGUGUAGCAGUGAAAUGCGUAGAUAUCGUAAGGAAGGCCAGUGGCGAAGGCGAGUCUCUGGACAGUAACUGACGCUGAGGCACGAAGGCCAGGGAGCAAACG